rnacentral:rRNA from 1 species
GACGAACGCUGGCGGCGUGCUUAACACAUGCAAGUCGAACGGAAAGGCCCUUCGGGGUACUCGAGUGGCGAACGGGUGAGUAACACGUGGGUGAUCUGCCCUGCACUUUGGGAUAAGCCUGGGAAACUGGGUCUAAUACCGGAUAGGACCACGGCAUUCAUGUGCUGUGGUGGAAAGCUUUUGCGGUGUGGGAUGGGCCCGCGGCCUAUCAGCUUGUUGGUGGGGUAAUGGCCUACCAAGGCGACGACGGGUAGCCGGCCUGAGAGGGUGACCGGCCACACUGGGACUGGGAUACGGCCCAGACUCCUACGGGAGGCAGCAGUGGGGAAUAUUGCACAAUGGGCGCAAGCCUGAUGCAGCGACGCCGCGUGAGGGAUGACGGCCUUCGGGUUGUAAACCUCUUUCGCCAGGGACGAAGCGCAAGUGACGGUACCUGGAGAAGAAGGACCGGCCAACUACGUG